AUGUAUCACCUGAUUGCUCUGGGUCCCUCCUUGAACACAAAAUUUUUCAUCUCUCACUUUGUGUUUGGUCUGAAGGAUGAGGUUCGCACUGCAGUCCGUUUACAAGCUCCCACCAGUGUGACUCGAACAGUUGCUUUAGCCAAGAUACAUGAGGAAGAGUUGGAAUUACAGAAAACCAAACCCAGGUUUCAGCGUUUUGUACAUCACCAGCCAAGUCUUCCUACAGUUUCCCCUGUUACUCCAGUGCAGAAGAAAAACACAAGUGAUUUUGGAAGAGAACAUCAGUUAAGAGAUUAUCGUCGUGUGUUGGGGAUAUAA
rnacentral:rRNA from 1 species